UGAACACAAACUUACUUUCAUUCAUAAUCAACUUUCUUCACUACAAUAACAAGAGGGAAUUAACCAUCCUCUUUUACAAUAAGCAUAAACACCAGCAUGUAAAUAAGCUAAAUAAGAUAGGUCUUCAAAAGAAGAUGACAGCGGAUUCAAGACGAUGCUUGAAUGCGUCGGGAAAGCCUUCACGACAAAGUCGUACAGCUCGAGAAUAGUCACAUUAAGUGACGUUGGAGUCCAGACUCCAUCUACGAGAACUACCGAGGUAAUCUCGCUUGUAUCUUCUGGUCCCGUAGAGACCGCUCCGCAAGAUGACAAAACGAUGAAGAAACUGAAACAAACGCUCGGCAACAAGUCCGAGGAAGCACCUCUUGCCAUUGGAAGAGUGUAUGGUGGUAAAGGUUUCUCCUCGUAAGAGGAGGAUGAUCGAAAUAAAACAAUCCCCCGUGAACUCAUUGAGCUCUGUGAAAAUCUAGCCCGAACCCAGGCACCAUAGGAAGCUGGAACCCAAAGACUCGGAUCUGAACACGUGGUGUUUAUGGAUCUGUCGCCGGUUAGAUGAGGAGCAACAGAGCACAAUGGCCUGUGGAACUCAGGUCUCCUCGAAGACGAAGAGAUAAGGUGUGACAGUUGAAUACGAGGCUCCAUACGCGGUUGAAAGAUUUGGACCAAGUCGACAGCUUGGCUUGAUAGACGACAGUCAGAUGGAGGUGCGACGGGAUCUGAACCCGAACACCAUAGCAGAGCGGCGGCGAGAGAAUCCUCUCGACUCAUCGCUGGAAUAAGGACCACCUGGAGUGGAAGGACCGCUGAGAGAUGCACAACGAAGAGUUGAAGCUCUCGUCUCCGUCGUAACAUCCGUCGAGAUCUACUUCCUCCGACAAUCCACAGAAAACGAGCUGGUAACAAACAAAGCGAGAAGUGAAACAGGAAGCAGAGAGUGGUGUUGAGGAUCAGCAUCAGCAAGGAAACCCCGCGCCGGCGGGAAAAUGCAUCGCCGGCGCCGGAGCACAUGGUUCUUGGAGGCGCCUGGGAAAUCGUGCCUGGGAGAGAUAAUCUUCGAGUUUUACAUUCAAUUAUAUGACAAAAUAUAUGAACAAAAUCUUGAAAAGUUUAUGCUAGUGUGCGGUGACUCUGACUACAAGUACAACAUUGUAUCAUGAAUGAAACCAAUAUAUUUUUCAUGUAAAAAACAUCAGUAUCUCAAACUAAAAAAUCGUGAUGAACAAUCUAGUGCAAUCUAACUAGAACAAUUAUUAACUAAGGUCACUGCCAGAACUUUUGGCCUUUUUGCUAGCGUGAAUCUUAGCAUAAAUCUCCUUUGUCCUAUAAGCCAACAGAAUAUCUAAACCGACUCCAAUAAUAGAAGCUGAAGCCAUCACCAAGAAGAUGAGACGGUAACAAUGAGCUCCGACGCAAGUGUUGCCCCCACCAGGAGUUGGUGUAGCCUCUGCAUCGUAGAGGAACCCAGCGAGAAGACCAGAGAAGAGGAACGAGCCGAGUGGCAAGUUAAGUACUAAGAUGUUGUAGAUGAGACCAUAGUAUUUGAGACCAAAGAGUUCUGAUGCUGUGGGUACGGUAAUAGCUAGACGGACACCAUAACAAACUCCGACCACCAUUGAACCGAUGUAAAGUGAAUUGGGGACAGCUAAAGCCAUUAGUAGAUACCCUACAGCCAUGAGGAUUUGAGAUGCUGCGUUCCAUAGUGGUCUUGGUGUUCCAGCUUUCCUAUAGAAAUCAAGAGUAAAAUUCACACUAUUUGUUCAGUAAAGUUAUUAAAUCAGCACGCUGAUAAUGAUCUUCUCUCUUUUUUGUUGAUCAUGAAAAAUCUAUGCACGUAAAUAGUUUGUAAACAUCUUAAAGUUUGUAAAGAAUCUAGAGGGGGACAUUCACGUGGUGAGGAAUUAAACAGUGUGGUCCUAAUAAAAAGAGCAAGAUCGCUGGAUUUGGACUUAUCUAUGCACAAGAACAAAAAACUAUUGAAAUGAUCAAACAGAGAAAUCUAAAAGAUCUGUUUUCUAUAAUUGAAAAGUCAAUAAGUGGAGAAAAAUGCAGACAAACCAUUGAUUGUGUGUCCAUGGGUGUAGAUGGGUUAUAGCUUUCUAAUUAAUGUUAGAACGGUAGUGAAAGCUUAACGAUAGCUCCGUACCAAAAAUACCAACCACAUGAAAAUAAAGUGAAUAGUAAGUUGCGGGCGGAUACAAUUGUAUGGAACAUAAAGUGUCGGCAAGUGCUAAUUGGAAGAUGGUGUGUAGAAACCUAACCAAAUAAUUAGACUUUUUGUCAACUUUGAAAAUAGUUAGAUAUUAAUCAAAAAAAAAAUUAGUAUUCACAAAAAAUAAUCAAAACUUAUUUAUGUCAAAAAAAUUAUUGUUACAAUUUCAAUGUAUUUCUGUUAUUAAUUAAUCUCUUUUACCAUUAUACUAAAUUUUUUAAAAUAAAAGCAAUAAAAUUUUAAUAGUUAAAUAAGGAUAAACUAAAUAUUAACUAUUUUCUUAAUAAGUACAUUUUGAUUUAUAUGCUUUUUCAAGAAAAUAACUUUAUCGGAAAUAACAAAAAAUUGAAAAGGUGACUGAAGUAGGAGGAGACUUACUUGAGAAAGUGUUCGGAGAGUGUACCGGAGAGAAUACGACCGAAGAAGCCCCAAAUACUAGUCAUGGAGACGAAGAUCGAGACGUCUGUGUAACCAAGUGCAAGCCCAAUCUGGCCCAUGUUGUUCAUCACUGCCAACCCAGUCCCUACACCACACAAGAACGAGACGAACAGCACCCAAAAAUCCACCGUCAGCAUCGCUUCCAUUAUCGUGUGUUCUUCUCCCAACACCGGCCUCUUCCUCUCCUCCACAGGACUCUCCUCAUCUACAACUACUUCUUCCUUCUCCGCCGAUCUCAGCAGCGGUUCUUGAACCCGUCCUUCCACGUCUUGUUCUUCACCGCGGUUCAAGCUUCGUAUGAACGAGUGGAAAGGUAUGGCGAUCGGAGAGAACAAGAGGAAGAGAAGUACGGAGGCAAAAACGACCGAGAACACUCCGGUUUUGAUUCCGAUGAUGUCGUAAGACUGAAGGUACACAGCCACAACGACGGCUAGGAUGUUGAACACGGCGAAGUAACGCGUCUCUUCGCUCUCCUCGUCGGCGGAGGAAGCCGGAGGGAUCUCACGGAGGAAGAAAACCGCCGUGAGACAGACAGCGAAAGGCACGACGGCGAGUAAAACGAGAAACGACGCCGGAUCGUUUGAGAAGAGAGCAGUGCAGAGAUCGGUGAAAAUAGCCGUGCUUAGACCGACGUAUCCUUUCAAGAUCCCCGGGAAAAUGCAUCGCCGGCGCCGGAGCACAUGGUUCUUGGAGGCGCCUGGGAAAUCGUGCCUGGGAGAGAUAAUCUUCGAGUUUUACAUUCAAUUAUAUGACAAAAUAUAUGAACAAAAUCUUGAAAAGUUUAUGCUAGUGUGCGGUGACUCUGACUACAAGUACAACAUUGUAUCAUGAAUGAAACCAAUAUAUUUUUCAUGUAAAAAACAUCAGUAUCUCAAACUAAAAAAUCGUGAUGAACAAUCUAGUGCAAUCUAACUAGAACAAUUAUUAACUAAGGUCACUGCCAGAACUUUUGGCCUUUUUGCUAGCGUGAAUCUUAGCAUAAAUCUCCUUUGUCCUAUAAGCCAACAGAAUAUCUAAACCGACUCCAAUAAUAGAAGCUGAAGCCAUCACCAAGAAGAUGAGACGGUAACAAUGAGCUCCGACGCAAGUGUUGCCCCCACCAGGAGUUGGUGUAGCCUCUGCAUCGUAGAGGAACCCAGCGAGAAGACCAGAGAAGAGGAACGAGCCGAGUGGCAAGUUAAGUACUAAGAUGUUGUAGAUGAGACCAUAGUAUUUGAGACCAAAGAGUUCUGAUGCUGUGGGUACGGUAAUAGCUAGACGGACACCAUAACAAACUCCGACCACCAUUGAACCGAUGUAAAGUGAAUUGGGGACAGCUAAAGCCAUUAGUAGAUACCCUACAGCCAUGAGGAUUUGAGAUGCUGCGUUCCAUAGUGGUCUUGGUGUUCCAGCUUUCCUAUAGAAAUCAAGAGUAAAAUUCACACUAUUUGUUCAGUAAAGUUAUUAAAUCAGCACGCUGAUAAUGAUCUUCUCUCUUUUUUGUUGAUCAUGAAAAAUCUAUGCACGUAAAUAGUUUGUAAACAUCUUAAAGUUUGUAAAGAAUCUAGAGGGGGACAUUCACGUGGUGAGGAAUUAAACAGUGUGGUCCUAAUAAAAAGAGCAAGAUCGCUGGAUUUGGACUUAUCUAUGCACAAGAACAAAAAACUAUUGAAAUGAUCAAACAGAGAAAUCUAAAAGAUCUGUUUUCUAUAAUUGAAAAGUCAAUAAGUGGAGAAAAAUGCAGACAAACCAUUGAUUGUGUGUCCAUGGGUGUAGAUGGGUUAUAGCUUUCUAAUUAAUGUUAGAACGGUAGUGAAAGCUUAACGAUAGCUCCGUACCAAAAAUACCAACCACAUGAAAAUAAAGUGAAUAGUAAGUUGCGGGCGGAUACAAUUGUAUGGAACAUAAAGUGUCGGCAAGUGCUAAUUGGAAGAUGGUGUGUAGAAACCUAACCAAAUAAUUAGACUUUUUGUCAACUUUGAAAAUAGUUAGAUAUUAAUCAAAAAAAAAAUUAGUAUUCACAAAAAAUAAUCAAAACUUAUUUAUGUCAAAAAAAUUAUUGUUACAAUUUCAAUGUAUUUCUGUUAUUAAUUAAUCUCUUUUACCAUUAUACUAAAUUUUUUAAAAUAAAAGCAAUAAAAUUUUAAUAGUUAAAUAAGGAUAAACUAAAUAUUAACUAUUUUCUUAAUAAGUACAUUUUGAUUUAUAUGCUUUUUCAAGAAAAUAACUUUAUCGGAAAUAACAAAAAAUUGAAAAGGUGACUGAAGUAGGAGGAGACUUACUUGAGAAAGUGUUCGGAGAGUGUACCGGAGAGAAUACGACCGAAGAAGCCCCAAAUACUAGUCAUGGAGACGAAGAUCGAGACGUCUGUGUAACCAAGUGCAAGCCCAAUCUGGCCCAUGUUGUUCAUCACUGCCAACCCAGUCCCUACACCACACAAGAACGAGACGAACAGCACCCAAAAAUCCACCGUCAGCAUCGCUUCCAUUAUCGUGUGUUCUUCUCCCAACACCGGCCUCUUCCUCUCCUCCACAGGACUCUCCUCAUCUACAACUACUUCUUCCUUCUCCGCCGAUCUCAGCAGCGGUUCUUGAACCCGUCCUUCCACGUCUUGUUCUUCACCGCGGUUCAAGCUUCGUAUGAACGAGUGGAAAGGUAUGGCGAUCGGAGAGAACAAGAGGAAGAGAAGUACGGAGGCAAAAACGACCGAGAACACUCCGGUUUUGAUUCCGAUGAUGUCGUAAGACUGAAGGUACACAGCCACAACGACGGCUAGGAUGUUGAACACGGCGAAGUAACGCGUCUCUUCGCUCUCCUCGUCGGCGGAGGAAGCCGGAGGGAUCUCACGGAGGAAGAAAACCGCCGUGAGACAGACAGCGAAAGGCACGACGGCGAGUAAAACGAGAAACGACGCCGGAUCGUUUGAGAAGAGAGCAGUGCAGAGAUCGGUGAAAAUAGCCGUGCUUAGACCGACGUAUCCUUUCAAGAUCCCCGAGACCGGACCACGGUUUCGCCGGAAGUUUCGUAUGCAAGUAACAAGAACCGCCGUGUUCAUCCACGUCGUGCUGUUUCCUCCCAUACAGAGGAAUAUACACAUCUGAACAUUACAAACCCUCAGAAUCAAGAAUUGCGCUAGUAUAAAUUCAAGAAUAUUAUUUUUUUUUUUUUUAAUAAUAUUAUUUGUACCUGCCAAUAAGGGAGAGGGGUGAUGGUGCGGCUAACGACGAGCCAUUGUACACCAUAGCCAAGAAGACCUUCUAAAGAACCGAUAAGGAGGAUCACUGGAGUGGAAAGACGGUCCGAGGCGAGGCCAGCGAGGAUUCCAAAGGCUUUUCCGACGUCUUUAGCGACGGAGAGGUUGUUGAGCUGGAGCUGGUUGAGGUUCAUGAGUGACUUGAGAGCGCCAGAGUAGUUGGAGAAAGUGUAGUUGUUGCCGGAGAUGGACUGAACCCAAACCGCCGUCACAAAUCCAAGCCAUUUCAGUGCAGAAGAAGAAGAGGGAGAUCUCAGAAUGCCCAUUGUAGAAGAAAGAAGUUCAAGAAGAAGAAUGUGUUGGUUGUGGAGGUUAAAAUUAAGGGAGGUUUUAUAGAAGGGAAAGGGGAUAUCUUUUGUUUGUGUGAGUGUUUUUUAGUUUAAUUAAAUCGUUGUUGUUUUACAUUUUGUAAACAAUUGUUUUUUUUUUUAAUUAUACAAGUGGGGAAUGAGAAUAGAAAAGGUACGACGGCGACAUGUAGUACGGUUAAGAAGGUGUGCAAACCGUGGAUACAUCACGACAUGGAAUAUUUAAAAGACGGUGUGCUCAUAUUAUAGAUUUCUUAGUCGUUUAAAACAAUUAAAGUAGGUGGCCAACUAGGCUAUGUUGCUAGCCGUUGCUGCUUAGAAUGUUUGUUCCUCCAAAGCUUCAUGUUAGACUCCUAAUGCAUAUUGUGUAUGAUCCCAUCUAUACAGGAGAUGUAUGAUCAAAACAGAGCUAAAAUAGUUAAUAAAGUGCGACAUGAACUAUUACAGAGAAAAAUGUAUGACGUGGACUGAAUUAAGUGUUUUUCAAAGUACGAUCUAGGCCUGGACAUUUUAUCUGAUACAUGAACCCGUACCGAAACUCGAAAUGAAAAACCCAAGCCAAAAUCCAAACUAAAAUAGUAAAAUAUCUGAAUAUGAUAUAGAAUUAGGAGAGAUUGGAUAUUCAAGCUCAGACGGGUAAAAAUUGAACCCGAAUAGAUAUCCAAACAUAAUCGAGUAUAUAUAUACUAAACCCUCUAUUCCUAGUUUGCUUUUUUCGUUUUAUUCAAAAUAUUUAUAUUGAUGUUGCAUAUGACUCAAGAUCAGAUAAUAUACAUAUAAUUAUGGACAAAAUGAUUUACUACUCAUUUAAAAUGCAAGUCAAACUUCUUGUUUCAUGCAUUAACAAUAGUUGCAUCUAAAAUUUCAAAAUAACAAUUUUUAAAGUUUUAUCUCCAAAUAUAUAAAUAGUCUAACCUAUUAAAAAUUAAAAAAUCAGUUACGUUAAUGGUAAAUUUAUAAGUACAAGAAACUUCGGUAAUGAAAAAUUUGAUUUCUUUUUUCAAAGUCUAAAUAUCCAAAUCCUAUCCAAAAUAACCAAACCCGAGCGGGUUCCAGACUUCAAUACCUAUAGACCCGAAAUCUUGAAAUAUUCCGAUCCGAACUCAAACGGGUACCCAAAAUGUCAUGUCUAGUAGAGUCAAUAAAUAAAAAUUUACUUUGGAGCAUGUUAAGAGAAGUAGUAGAGAAAAAGAAAUCGACCUUGCAUAAAAAAUUGACUUCUUUGGUGGAUAACACAAAAUGAAAACUUCACAAACAGAUCGAGAUGAAGCCAAUUUAGUGGGGCAGAAUUGGAACACCCAACCGAAAAAUAUUUGAAAAAUCCAUUGAAAAAUCUAAGUAAAAAUUGAGUCAAAUUUUAACAAAUGAAAUGAAGAAAUACAGCCACUUUAUUGAUGAAAUACAAGAUUAAAUAUUGAAGAACUUAAUGGUGGUAAUGAUAUUAAAUGAAUCUAGUAUAGACAUGUAAUGGACAGUAUGAAGACAAUAUAUGGUAUUUAUAUUGGUUCUACGAAGGGUUAUAGCGCCUUGUCAUAUACACGAGAGAUGGUUAAAGACACUCAUGCGAGUGACUAGGAUAAAUUUAUUUUCGUAUCUAUACAAAAUAAAGAAGGCCGUUCGAUGUACAAUUACAAGAUUUUUUUUUUUUUUACGUCGAAAGACUAUUCUAUUACUCAAGUUUGAGGUGGUUUGGAUAACCAAAUCGGAAUAAAACAACCAAUAAAAUGUUACUCCCUAUGGAAGGAUCUAGCAGUCUUAGCUAAAAAGUCUGAAAUCUGAUUGCGCGCUCGUGGAAUAUGAAUGAUGUUGAAAUCCGGAAAGCAUAUUUGUAGCGUCUCUAUCCUCUCCAAUUCUGUCGCAAAGCUUGGCCAAGCCUGAGGUUCCUUUAUCAUUAUAAUCAGUUCCUUAGAGUCUGUCCCGAAGCUCUGGCAUGUUGAAUGUUGAAGCAUAUAUUCUCCAUCGCCCAUCGCAGUGCUUCUACUUCCGAAUGCAAAACCUGAUUUGCGUCGAGUGAAAUUUCUUGUCCCCAUAAGUUGAAUGUUCCCAUAACUGUCCAUCUAGAGCCAUCCACAUUCACUAAAGUGAGCAGAGGAUGUCCAAGAUCCAUCUAACAAGCAAAUAUUACCCAAGCUUAUGACUUGGGAUUCGUCAAUAUUGUUAUCUUGUAUCACUGGUUGUACCACUUCGUUGGCAUCAAACCAGGCUUGGCAUUCACUUCAUGCAUGUCGAACUAGCUCCAAAGGAUCUCUAUCUACCCCCUAAAAACUUUGUCAUUUCUAGCAUUUCAAAUAUACCAUAUUAUCCAGGAAUAAGGAUUUAUAUCUUGUUCUGACUCGAUAAUGUUGUUUUUCCUCCAUAAUAGGUAAUCCAUAUUUGUGUAGAUGCUUGGUACUGGAAAUAUACAUGGGGUUCUUGGAGUUGAUAAUAAUGAUCAAACUUGGAGAGCUGACGGACAUUCGAAUAUGGCAUGGGUUACAGUUUCUUCUAGUUCUUCACAUUUUGGGCAGUAGUUGUCACACCUCAUAUUGCGUCUUGUUAAGUUCCUCGUUACUGUCACAUGACCAGUUAACAAUUGCCAUAUAAGAUGACAUAUCUUCAUAGGUGUCUUUAGCUUUCAAGCAAAGGCUUCGAGCUUAGUGAUGCUUGGUUCAAAAACUUCAUUUUCUUCCGCUGUCGUUAAUAAAUUUUGAGCCACCCAAUAUCCAGAUUUAAUUGUGUACUAGAUUUUGACCCGCGCAGGCGCGCGGGUGUAUAUUUUGAAAAAUAUGUUGAUAUUUGUUUUUCAUGUAAUUAUUAGGGUUUUACAAAAUGAAUCCAAGGAACAUAACCGAUACCGAUCCGAAAAUAUAGUACCAAACCCGAACAUAAAUUGAUUAAAUAUUCGAAUUAUAGAAAAUUUUGUUAUUUAGAGAACCAAACUGAUCCGAACCGAAGUAUUCGGGUACCCGAAUUUAUCUAAAAAUAGAUUUAUAUACUUAUAUAUAUAUUAAUUAUUUUUAGAUUUAACGUAUAUAAAACAUUAAGAAUGAUACUUUUAAAUUGGUUUAAAUACUUGAAAAUAUAUAUUUAUAUAGUCAAAAGUAAAUAUCUGCAAUAGUUAAAGUAUACUCAAAUCACCAAAAAUACUUUGAUUCCAUAUCCAAAAUUUUAAAUCAAUCCAAUUGAUAUGUUAAGCUUAGGUAUUCUGACAUAUGUUAUUCAAAUUUAUAGGUAAUAUAUUAUUUUAUUUAUAGAUUUUGAGAAAUUUAAAAUAGAUAAUGAUUUAAAACUUUAAAAAUAAUUUAAAUGGGUUAUCCAAAUGCGAACCAAACCCGCAAAGAUCCGAAUCAAACUCAAACCAAAAUUUAGAAACAUCCUAACAGGGCUUAAAUCUUUGACUCCGAAAACCCGAAACACAAACCGAUCAGAACCAAAUCCGUAUGGGUGCCCGAAAUCCCAUCCCUAUUCAUUAUUAUAUAUCGUAUACUGUCAUCAUAUAAUUAAUCGUAUUUUAUAUGUACCAUCAUAUAAGUAAUCAUAUAAUUAAUAGUAUUUUAUACGUACCAUCAUAUAAAUAAUUACAUAUAUUAUAUUUUUAAAACUUAAUAUGAAUAUAAAAACCACAAUUUGAGUUGGUAUUUCAAAUUGGGCUUUGUAUUGUAUUUUUAUUAUAUAUAUUGACAACAUUUUUUUAUAAUGGUUAUUGAAAAAUAGUUUAGUAAAAAUCCAUUUCUGAAUAUAUGUAUUAUUUUUUAAUCAAUUUUUGAUAUAAAUCAACUUUAAAUUAUUAUUUUGAUUUGAAAUAUGUGUAUAAAGUUUAAAUUUUGUUUUAUGGUUAGUUUAGAAAAGAAAAAGUUUUAGGCAAUUAGAUUGACCGUUUUCGUAUAUUUUAAAUCUGGCCCAAAUAGAUAGUUUCUUAUAAUAUGAUGGACUUUUAAUUUUUCUUGAUAACAUAAGCCCAUUACUUUUUUUUUCUUAAUACUACUAUCUUUGUUUCCAAACAAAAUUAAUUUUUUUUAAAAGACUACAAUUCAUGUUUCUAAACACUCCAAUUUUUUUUAAUAGUCCUAUUCAAGUCUCCAAACACUCCAAUUUUGUACUUGAGUUUUAAUAAGAUAGAUUGGCCAUUCCUUAUAUAGUUUCAACAGGAUGUAUCAC
rnacentral:lncRNA from 1 species